GAACUAACAUAAACAAAUUGGAUACGCUUUUUCCUAAAGACAAUCGAUAAUAUUAAGGCUUUGAAUGGAUGCAACAAAUAAAGCGGUCUAAUUUGUUUGCGGUCUAGUCCACUUCAUUUUUGAAGCGGAUAAUAAACCGCUGCAAACCAAGUUUAUUUGUACGUAAAAACGGUCUGCAGAUGGUCCGCUGCGGUUUUCUUCUAUUUUUUUGGUCUGUAUCACUUAGAACUAUAAUUGAUGAAUGAUAAAUAAAAAGUGGUUUGAUCCGUUGACGGUUUUGUCCGCCCCAACCGCUGUAACCAUUCAAACCCUAAGUAAAAAGCUAUAUAUGUAGAUGGGCCUAGAAUAUCCCAUCACUAGCUUGGAUCCUUUUUGGAUUUUGCCAAAUCCAAAAGGAAUUAAUAGUGACAAGCUAGCGCCUAGCGGUGGUCUAGUGAUGGUGGGGUGUCUUAAAGGAAGUAUAGACAUGGGGCAAAGGACCA
rnacentral:sRNA from 1 species